AGAAUGUAGGCUCUGGGACUGAAGCUAUUCCAUGAGUAUGUGAAGCCUGACAAGAGAGGUUGCACCAGGGGUCAGAUGCUACUCCUCUCAAUGCUGUCUUCAGGCAGGGGGUCAGGCUGAAGAAGUCCCAACCCUAUGGUACUUGGCUGAUGGCCGUGGGAGGUGGAAAGAAGAGAGAAAUCAUGCACUGGCUCUUAAAGGCUUUCGCCCAAAGGGAACACAGGUCACCUCCAUACAUAUUUCAUCGACCAGUGCAAAUCUGAGGAUCACGUUCAACUUCUCGGAGCCAGGAAAGAUGCAAUCUUACCACGUACCCAGCAGAAGAGAGGGAUGAAUGACACUAAUGAAGACCACUGAGAAUUUCAAGGCCUCUUCCCUGCUCCCCAGCCCUUUGUCUGAAGUGCAACAGAACAUGACCUUUGUAAGAGAACAGAAUACUCUUUCAAAAAAUAAUCAUGACUGCGUUGAAGCAUAAAUCUUUCAGCUGGUGGUAUGAGAAAGUUUCAUCUUUAAACCUAAUCCAACAGACCAUAACACCGGAAUACCUUUGUCCUUAAGACUACUUAGGGUUGGAAGCUCAGAGUCCUGAGCAUGUGGAACUUUGCAUUUUCAUCACUGUGAGGAGUCGGGCUUGACCUUGAGCAGUGUUAUCUUCAAGUCUUUCAAAGAGUCAUUAAA